rnacentral:rRNA from 1 species
GACGAACGCUGGCGGCGUGCUUAACACAUGCAAGUCGAACGGAAAGGCCCUGCUUUUGUGGGGUGCUCGAGUGGCGAACGGGUGAGUAACACGUGAGUAACCUGCCCUUGACUUUGGGAUAACUUCAGGAAACUGGGGCUAAUACCGGAUAGGAGCUCCUGCUGCAUGGUGGGUGUUGGAAAGUUUCGGCGGUUGGGGAUGGACUCGCGGCUUAUCAGCUUGUUGGUGGGGUAGUGGCUUACCAAGGCUUUGACGGGUAGCCGGCCUGAGAGGGUGACCGGCCACAUUGGGACUGAGAUACGGCCCAGACUCCUACGGGAGGCAGAAGUGGGGAAUAUUGCACAAUGGGCGGAAGCCUGAUGCAGCAAAGCCGCGUGCGGGAUGACGGCCUUCGGGUUGUAAACCGCUUUCGCAUGUGACGAAGCGUGAGUGACGGUAAUGGGUAAAGAAGCACCGGCUAACUACGUG